CUAACAAGGAUUCCCCUAGUAACGGCGAGUGAAGCGGGAUGAGCUCAAAUUUGUAAUCUGGCGGCCUGUGGUCGUCCGAGUUGUAGUCUGGAGAAGCGUCUUCCGCGUCGGACCGUGUACAAGUCCCUUGGAACAGGGCGUCAUAGAGGGUGAGAAUCCCGUCUUUGACACGGACUGCCGAUGCUAUGUGAUGCGCUCUCGAAGAGUCGAGUUGUUUGGGAAUGCAGCUCAAAACGGGUGGUAAAUUCCAUCUAAAGCUAAAUAUGGGCAAAAGACCGAUAGCGAACAAGUACCGUGAGGGAAAGAUGAAAAGCACUUUGAAAAGAGAGUUAAACAGUACGUGAAAUUGUUGAAAGGGAAACGCUUGAAGUCAGUCGCGUCUCUCGGGAGUCAGCCUUGCUUUGUUGCUUGGUGUAUUUCCCGGGGCGACGGGCCAGCAUCGAUUUUGACCGUCGGAGAAAGGCUUCGGGAAUGUGGCACCCUCGGGUGUGUUAUAGCCCGGGGUCGUAUGCGACGGUUGGGAUCGAGGACCGCAGCACGCCUUCAUUGGCCGGGGGGACGCCCCACGUAACGUGCUUAGGAUGCUGGCGUAAUGGCUUUAAGCGACCCGUCUUG
rnacentral:rRNA from 1 species